GAUGAACGCUGGCGGCGUGCCUAAUACAUGCAAGUCGAGCGAACAGACCAGGAGCUUGCGCCUCUGACGUUAGCGGCGGACGGGUGAGUAACACGUGGAUAACCUACCUAUAAGACUGGGAUAAUUACGGGAAACCGGAUCUUAUACCGGAUAAUAUAUUGAACCGCAUGGGUCAAUAGUGAAAGUCGGUUUUUCUGUCACUAAUAGAUGGAUCCGCGCCUAAUUAGUUAGUUGGUAAGCUAACGGCUUACCAAGGCAGGGAGGCGUAGCCGACCGGAAAGAGGGGUAGCCCACCUGGGAAGUGAGACGGAGUCAAGAGUCCUACGGUAGGAAGCAGACGGGAAUCUUACGCAAUGGGGGAGAGGCUGACAGAGCAAGGGGGCGUGAGUGAUGAAGGUGCUAGGCUCGGAAAACUCUGUUAUUAGGGGAGAACAAAUGUGUAAGUAACUAUGACGGUAUUGACGGUACCGGGUCAAAAAGCCCCGGCUAACUACGUG
rnacentral:rRNA from 1 species